ACACGAAGAUCGAUUGAGAAGUUAUUAGAAUGGGAAAACAAUAGGUUAUACCACAAGCUGUGCUUGCAUUGGAGACUAAGCAAAAGGAAAUGUGAAACGAAUAACAUGAUGGAAUAUGUCAUCCUUAUAGAAUUUUUACCAAAGACACCGAUUUUUCGACCAGAUUAGCAUUUGAUUUAUUCAUAGAGACUUACUCAAGUAUGUUGUCUUUCCAAUGGUGCCUUGCUUGGUGCUCUCCUGGUGGUGACAUAACAUUGGUUCUACAGAAUCUUGUGGUGUUUUCAUUCUUCUUUUGUUUGGUUUUGUUUUGUUGUUUGUUUGUUUUUUAUAAAAGCAUGUUCUACCUACACUUGGUCAAACUCUGCAAAGUCAUUUUAUGCAAAUGUUAACUACUACUUAAGUUAUUGUCACUUUUACUAUUUCUGUUUAUUCAUGUAUCUUGAUUUUCAAAGAAUCUUUUAAAUGUGUGCACGUGUGUGUGUACAUAUAUAUAUAUUACUAUAAAGACACAGCUGAAAAUG